GGGGGCAACCCUGGUGGCGAGUGGCGAACGGGUGAGUAAUACAUCGGAACAUGUCCUGAAGUGGGGGAUAACGCAUCGAAAGAUGUGCUAAUACCGCAUAUUCUCUGAGGAGGAAAGUAGGGGAUCGCAAGACCUUACGCUUUUGGAGUGGCCGAUGUCUGAUUAGCUAGUUGGUAAGGUAAAGGCUUACCAAGGCGACGAUCAGUAGUUGGUCUGAGAGGACGACCAGCCACACUGGGACUGAGACACGGCCCAGACUCCUACGGGAGGCAGCAGUGGGGAAUUUUGGACAAUGGGCGAAAGCCUGAUCCAGCAAUGCCGCGUGAGUGAAGAAGGCCUUCGGGUUGUAAAGCUCUUUCAGUUGAGAAGAAUGUUGCGACUAAUAAUCGCAAUUCAUGACGGUAUCAACAGAAGAAGCACCGGCUAACUACGUGCCAGCAGCCGCGGUAAUACGUAGGGUGCAAGCGUUAAUCGGAAUUACUGGGCGUAAAGGGUGCGCAGGCGGUUCUGUAAGUCAGAUGUGAAAUCCCCGGGCUUAACCUGGGAAUUGCGUUUGAAACUGCAGGACUAGAGUGUGGCAGAGGGGGGUGGAAUUCCAAGUGUAGCAGUGAAAUGCGUAGAGAUAUGGAGGAACAUCGAUGGCGAAGGCAGCCCCCUGGGUUAACACUGACGCUCAUACACGAAAGCGUGGGUAGCAAACAGGAUUAGAUACCCUGGUAGUCCACGCCCUAAACUAUGUCAACUAGUUGUCGGGUCUUAAUAGGCUUGGUAACGUAGCUGACGCGUGAAGUUGACCGCCUGGGGAGUACGGUCGCAAGAUUAAAACUCAAAGGAAUUGACGGGGACCCGCACAAGCGGUGGAUUAUGUGGAUUAAUUCGAUGCAACGCGAAAAACCUUACCUACCCUUGACAUGCCAGGAACUUGCCAGAGAUGGCUUGGUGCUCGAAAGAGAACCUGGACACAGGUGCUGCAUGGCUGUCGUCAGCUCGUGUCGUGAGAUGUUGGGUUAAGUCCCGCAACGAGCGCAACCCUUGUCAUUAAUUGCCAUCAUUUAGUUGGGCACUUUAAUGAGACUGCCGGUGACAAACCGGAGGAAGGUGGGGAUGACGUCAAGUCCUCAUGGCCCUUAUGGGUAGGGCUUCACACGUAAUACAAUGGCGCGUACAGAGGGUUGCCAACCCGCGAGGGGGAGCUAAUCUCAGAAAGCGCGUCGUAGUCCGGAUCGGAGUCUGCAACUCGACUCCGUGAAGUCAGAAUCGCUAGUAAUCGCUGAUCAGCAUGUCGCGGUGAAUACGUUCCCGGGUCUUGUACACACCGCCCGUCAC
rnacentral:rRNA from 1 species